rnacentral:piRNA from 1 species
UAAUGAAAGUUUUUCCAGUCGGUCCAACAU